UACGAAGGGUGCAAACGUUGCUCGGAAUUAUUGGGCGUAAAGAGCUCGUAGGCGGCUCGUCGCGUCGACCGUGAAAACCCGCGGCUUAACUGCGGGCUUGCGGUUGAUACGGGCGGGCUAGAGUUCGGUAGGGGAGACUGGAAUUCCUGGUGUAGCGGUGAAAUGCGCAGAUAUCAGGAGGAACACCGGUGGCGAAGGCGGGUCUCUGGGCCGAUACUGACGCUGAGGAGCGAAAGCGUGGGGAGCGAACAGG
rnacentral:rRNA from 1 species